rnacentral:rRNA from 1 species
GACGAACGCUGGCGGCGUGCCUAACACAUGCAAGUCGAACGGAAACGCCCUGCUUUUGUGCGGUUCUCGAGUGCCGAACGCGGGAGUAUCACGUGAGUAACCUGCCCUUGUCUUUGGGAUAACUUCAGGAAACUGGAGUUAAUAUCGGACAGGAGCCCCUGCAGCAUGGUGGGGAUGGGAAAGUUUCGCCGGUUGGGGAUGGACUCGCGGCUUAUCAGCUUGUUGGUUGGGUAGUGGCUUACCAAGGCAUUGACGGGUAGCCGGCCUGGGAGGGUGACCGGGCACAAUGGGCCUGAGGUAGGGCCCAGAGGGGAACGGGGGCCAGGGGUGGGAAACAUUGCGCAGAGGGCCGGAGUCGGGGACAGCGACGUCGGGUGCGGAAAGACGGUUUGUGGGGAAUAAACCGCAUUAGGCUGCGACGAAGCGUGAGUGACGGUAACGAGUAAAGAAGCACCGGCUAACUACGUG